rnacentral:rRNA from 1 species
AUGAACGCUGGCGGCGUGCCUAACACAUGCAAGUCGAACGAAGCAUCGCGCCCGAGGAAGCGGAGUGCUUGCACAAAGCGGACUCAAUUGUGAUGACUUAGUGGCGGACGGGUGAGUAACGCGUGGGUAACCUGCCCUAGUACAGGGGGAUAACAGUUAGAAAUGACUGCUAAUACCGCAUAAGCGCACACUAUCGCAUGGUAGAGUGUGAAAAGCCGAGACGGUAUAGGAUGGACCCGCGUCUGAUUAGCCAGUUGGCAGGGUAACGGCCUACCAAAGCAACGAUCAGUAGCCGGCCUGAGAGGGUGAACGGCCACAUUGGGACUGAGACACGGCCCAAACUCCUACGGGAGGCAGCAGUGGGGGAUAUUGCACAAUGGGGGAAACCCUGAUGCAAGCGACGCCGCGUGAGUGAAGAAGUAUUUCGGUAUGUAAAGCUCUAUCAGCAGGGAAGAAAAUGACGGUACCUGACUAAGAAGCUCCGGCUAAAUACGUGCCAGCAGCCGC